CAAAAACGAGAAAAGUGAAUGGAUUAAACAAUUUGCUUGACUAACAGAAAUUCGAGGAAUAAAAUAAUGGGUUGAUUUUAAGGAUAAUAGUACCAUGUACUAUUCCUACGCAAUAGUCCGGAAUAAGUUCCAGUUGUGUUUCCUUGUGCGUAGAACCCGCGAUUAAGUGUGUGUCAAUAGCAACUUGAGUACGCCCCAGUUGUGGAAAAGCUUCUGUUGCUUUGGCUCCAAUUACCGAACCUCAAAUUUGCCGGAGUAAAACCCGUAUCUGUAUUCAACGAUUGUAUUAAACACACUCUUCGCUAAUGCUAUCAACAUCCAGGAUAUGAACAGGAAUAAAUAGGAAUGUUCAGUGAAAAUUUGAUUCAUCCACACCGGUGAACCAAAAUGUUCUCUCUGAACGGUGUAGCAUAUAAUUUGUUCAAAAGAAAAUUUGGUUCGCUCAUUAUAUAGUGCUUUUAUCUAUUAUAACUGUAGUACAGCCAUGUAUUAGUAUUGAUGUAAAUAAAC